rnacentral:tRNA from 1 species
GGAGAUGUAUCGAAGUGGUCGUAACGAGGCUGACUCGAAAUCAGUUGACGGGCAACCGUCCGGGGGUUCGAAUCCCUCCAUCUCCG